UACGAAGGGGGCGAGCGUUGUUCGGAUUUACUGGGCGUAAAGGGCGCGUAGGCGGCGGGUCAAGUCGAGUGUGAAAGCCCCGGGCUCAACCUGGGAAUUGCGCUCGAGACUGGUCUGCUUGAGUUCGGGAGAGGAGAGUGGAAUUCCCAGUGUAGAGGUGAAAUUCGUAGAUAUUGGGAAGAACACCAGUGGCGAAGGCGGGUCUCUGGACAGUUCCUGACACUGAGACACGAAGGCCAGGGGAGCAAACGGG
rnacentral:rRNA from 1 species